rnacentral:misc_RNA from 1 species
GACUUUGACAUCUUACGGCCAUGAGCAUCACGAAUCAUUGGAUGCAAAUAAACCUUCCUAAAUGGAACAGCACCUCCCAGUUUAAUUCCUAACAUUACCAUCCGAGCAACCCAGAAAAAUAGAAUGUCAUGCCCAGUUUCAAGUACAGAAGUCGGGUAAAAUGCUUUCAAAUCAUCAGUAUCAUCUGGCCAACCCAAUACAGACAAUGGAAAUAGACCAGAAGAAAACCAAGUGUCAAGAACAUCAGGAUCUUGACUCAUCUCAAAUUUCUUUCCAGGAAAUUUCACGCUAGCCUCUGCUAAAGCCUCUUUCUCAUCUCGAGCAACCACCCAAUGGUCAUUGUAGACGCCAAGUUCCUUCAAUUCAUCGUCAUCAAG